rnacentral:rRNA from 1 species
UUUGAUCCUGGCUCAGAACGAACGCUGGCGGCAUGCCUAAUACAUGCAAGUCGAACGAUCCUUUCGGGGAUAGUGGCGCACGGGUGCGUAACGCGUGGGAAUCUGCCCUUGGGUUCGGAAUAACUUCGGGAAACUGAAGCUAAUACCGGAUGAUGACGAAAGUCCAAAGAUUUAUCGCCCAGGGAUGAGCCCGCGUAGGAUUAGCUAGUUGGUGGGGUAAAGGCCUACCAAGGCGACGAUCCUUAGCUGGUCUGAGAGGAUGAUCAGCCACACUGGGACUGAGACACGGCCCAGACUCCUACGGGAGGCAGCAGUAGGGAAUAUUGGACAAUGGGCGAAAGCCUGAUCCAGCAAUGCCGCGUGAGUGAUGAAGGCCUUAGGGUUGUAAAGCUCUUUUACCCGAGAUGAUAAUGACAGUAUCG